AAUAGAUACCCGGGUAGUCCACGCCGUAAACGAUGAGUGCUAAGUGUUAGAGGGUUUCCGCCCUUUAGUGCUGCAGCUAACGCAUUAAGCACUCCGCCUGGGGAGUACGGUCGCAAGACUGAAACUCAAAGGAAUUGACGGGGGCCCGCACAAGCGGUGGAGCAUGUGGUUUAAUUCGAGGCAACGCGAAGAACCUUACCAGGUCUUGACAUCCCACUGACCGGUAUAGAGAUAUACCUUUCCCUUCGGGGACAGUGGUGACAGGUGGUGCAUGGUUGUCGUCAGCUCGUGUCGUGAGAUGUUGGGUUAAGUCCCGCAACGAGCGCAACCCUUGAUCUUAGUUGCCAGCAUUUAGUUGGGCACUCUAAGGUGACUGCCGGUGACAAACCGGAGGAAGGUGGGGAUGACGUCAAAUCAUCAUGCCCCUUAUGACCUGGGCUACACACGUGCUACAAUGGAUGGUACAAAGGGCUGCAAGACUGCGAAGUCAAGCCAAUCCCAUAAAACCAUUCUCAGUUCGGAUUGCAGG
rnacentral:rRNA from 1 species